AAUGAGGCGGGGUCUUCCGGAUGCCUUGCUGGAAGUUUGUUUUUGCUCUACAGGAUUGAACCGUCUCUGUGUCUUGCUUUGAGCGCUGCUGUUGGGUGCUGUGAGUGGACCUCAAGUAAGCUCCGUUUUUGAAACAUGGAUGCAGUGACUUAUGAUGAUGUGCGUGUGAACUUCACUGGGGAAGAGUGGGAUUUGCUGGAUCCUUCCCAGAAAAGUCUCUAUGAAGAGGUGAUGCAGGAGACCUACCAGAACAUCACUGCUAUAGGCUACAAGUGGGAAGACCAUCAUAUUGAAGAACAUUGUCAAAGUUCUAGAAGACAUGAAAGGCAUGAAAAAAUUCAUAUUGGAGAGAAACCGUAUGAACGUAACCAAUGUGGUAAAGCCUUUGGAAGUGACAAUCAUCUCCAAGUACAUAAAAGAACAAAUACUGGAGAGAAACCUUAUGAAUGUAAUCAAUGUGGUAAAGCCUUUUCACAACAGAGUAGUCUCCAGUAUCAUAAAAGAACACAUGCUGGACAGAAACCUUAUGAAUGUAAUCAGUGCGGUAAAGCCUUGUCAUGUCAAAGAAGUCUCCAAUAUCAUAAAAGAACACAUACUGGAGAGAAAACUUGUGAAUGUAAUCAGUGUGGUAAAGCUUUUGUAAGACCCAGUCAACUCCAAAAACAUAAAGGAACACAUACUGGGGAGAAACCCUAUGAAUGUAAUCAGUGUGGUAAAGCCUUUGCACAUCACAAUAAUCUCCAAUAUCAUAAAAGAACACAUACUGGAGAGAAACCUUAUGAAUGCGAUCAAUGUGGAAAAGCCUUUGCAGUUCAGUAUAGUCUCCAAUAUCAUAAAAGAAGACAUACUGGAGAGAAACCUUAUGAAUGUAAUGAAUGUGGUGAAACCUUUGCAUUUCAGUAUAGUCUUCAAUACCAUAAAAGUACACAUACUGGAGAGAAACCUUAUGAAUGUAAUCAAUGUGGUAAAGCAUUUCCACAUCACAAUAAUCUCCAAAACCAUAAAAGAAUACAUAGUGGAGAGAAACCUUAUGAAUGUAAUCAAUGUGGUAAAGCUUUUGCAAGAACCGGUCAACUCCAAACCCAUAAAAGAACACAUACUGGAGAGAAACCUCAUGAGUGUGAUCAAUGUGGUAAAGCCUUUGCACUUCAGUAUAAUCUCCAAAAACAUAAAAGAAUACAUACUGGAGAGAAACCUUAUCAGUGUACUCAAUGUGAUAAAGCAUUUUCACAACACAGUAGUCUUCAAUAUCAUAAAAGAACACAUACUGGAGAGAAACCUUAUGAGUGUGAUCAAUGUCGUAAAGCCUUUGCAUGGCAAUAUAGUCUCUAUAUACAUAAAAGAAUACAUACUGGAGAGAAACCUUAUGAGUGUAAUCAAUGUGGUAAAGCCUUUGCACAUCACACUAGUCUCCAAUAUCAUAAAAGAACACAUACUGGAGAGAAACCUUAUCAGUGUGAUCAGUGUGGUAAAGCAUUUGCUCAUCAAAAUAAUCUCCAAUAUCAUAAACGAACACAUACUGGAGAAAAUCCUUAUGAAUGCAAUCAAUGUGGUAAAGCCUUUGCAAGUCACACUCAUCUCCAAGUACAUGAAAGAACACAUUUUAGAAAAAAA
rnacentral:lncRNA from 1 species